GGAGUGUGAGGGGAUGUAAAGGAACAGCGGAGCUUAAGUUGGUCUGAACUACACGACAACACUUGCCAUGAAAAUCAAACCAGAUCCUCGCUGAGGGUCAUUCGUCAAAUUCCCUUCCUGUUUUCCUUUUCAUGCUCUUUGUUUUGUUUCCCUGAUCCUUUGACUGCACGGCUCUUAUGGAAUCGGAAGUCAGGCAACACCACAGAAGAAAAUGAACCGAGCUUGUGGUGUCCCUGCCAGAGCCAAACCCCAGAAACGGUGGAAAUAUCCAGUGCCAGCCCGAGUCUGUGAGAUUUCCAGCCUGAUAGCCAGACCGACAAGGUUUAGAGUGAUGUGUGGGCCUCCUCCCUAGGAGCCUUUGCAAGUGAUGGAGAAUUGGGAUUAAACAAGGGAAUGGACUACUGAUACAUGGAACAAUGUGGAUGAACCUCAAAAACUUUCUGCUGAGUGAAAGAAACCAGACGGAAAAGAAACCAUAUUCUAUU